rnacentral:misc_RNA from 1 species
GAUUGGUAUUAAUUUUUUUGUAAAUGGUUGGUAUAAUUUAUUAGGUAUAUUAUUUGGUUUUGGAUUUUUUUAUUUUGGGGAGAUUUUUGAUUAUUAAUUUUAUUUUUUUAUUAGUUUAUAAAAAUUAAAAUUUGAAGGGUCUAAGCGACUCAAAUUGAGUAUUGGGAUCAAGUUGACUAUUCAUUUGAAUUUGAAGGGAUUUUUUUAUCUUAAUAUUUGUUCGGAAAUGAG